rfam:Pseudomonas sp. FeS53a scaffold1.1, whole genome shotgun sequence.
UCGUGUCGUCCUGGUGCUGGCCGGGCGGCGGAUCCCGCCUCGUCCAGGAUGGAUGGCGCGGGGUUUCAUCAGAAAAAGGAA